CGGUCCCGGUGGCGGCCCCGGCUCCGCGCACGCGCGGCUCCCGCCCCUCCCUCGCGCACGGCCGGGCGCAGCGGCAGCAUGAAGGACCGGACCGGGGAGCUGCGCGCCGCGAAGGACAGUGAUGAUGAUGAUGAAGUCACCGUCAGCGUGGACCGGGACCGCUUCAUGGACGAGUUCUUCGAGCAGGUGGAAGAAAUUCGAGGGUUCAUUGAUAAGAUUUCAGAGAAUGUGGAGGAAGUGAAGAGGAAGCACAGUGCCAUCCUUGCCUCGCCUAACCCCGAUGAGAAAACGAAGGAGGAGCUGGAAGAGCUGAUGUCUGACAUAAAGAAGACGGCAAACAAAGUACGCUCCAAGCUAAAGAGUAUUGAGCAGAGCAUUGAACAAGAGGAAGGACUGAACAGGUCAUCUGCUGACUUGCGGAUAAGGAAAACUCAGCACUCAACGCUGUCACGCAAGUUCGUGGAGGUGAUGUCCGAGUACAAUGCCACGCAGACUGACUACCGGGAGCGCUGCAAGGGCAGGAUCCAGAGGCAGCUGGAGAUCACUGGGAGGACCACCACCAGCGAGGAGCUGGAGGACAUGCUGGAGAGCGGCAACCCAGCCAUCUUCUCCUCUGGGAUCAUCAUGGAUUCAAACAUCACCAAGCAGGCACUGAAUGAGAUUGAGACACGGCACAGUGAAAUCAUCAAACUGGAGAACAGCAUCCGAGAGCUGCACGACAUGUUCAUGGACAUGGCCAUGCUGGUGGAGAGCCAGGGCUGCUGGGCAGGGCAACGUGCACACGGUGCUGGGGAGCAGAGCAGGAAGGAGCUCACGUCUGCGUGCGUGUGGGCACGUGGGCUCUGUCCCCGUUCUGCAGGGCGAGAUGAUUGACCGCAUCGAGUACAACGUGGAGCACUCAGUGGACUACGUGGAGCGAGCUGUGUCUGACACCAAAAAAGCAGUGAAGUACCAGAGCAAAGCCAGACGGAAGAAGAUCAUGAUCAUUAUCUGCUGCGUGAUCCUGGGCAUCGUCAUCGCCUCCACCUUCGGUGGCAUUUUCGGCUAGACUCACCCCGCGGGACUGUUUGUGUGUGAUGGACGGAGCUGCUGUGCCGCGGGGCCGCAGCCGCACCGGAGCAAACCACGCAGCCCCGGAGCCUCCCAGCAGCAUUUCAGUUUCUAAUGCAUGGUUGUUUGUGA